rnacentral:misc_RNA from 1 species
GUAUUUUGAAUUGUUUUAUUCAUAAUAUUUUUCAGACAAAGAGUUAAAAGAUAGGUUGAUGUUUGGGGCUGUUUUUUUUAGGAACAGCCCUGACAUUGCACACAAGGUGGAUAUGGAUUUAAAAAAGUGCCAUAAAACACUUAUUAUGAAUGAUCCUUCCGCAGGUUCACCUACGGAAA